rnacentral:rRNA from 1 species
GAUGAACGCUGGCGGCGUGCCUAAUACAUGCAAGUCGAGCGAACGGACGAGAAGCUUGCUUCUCUGAUGUUAGCGGCGGACGGGUGAGUAACACGUGGAUAACCUACCUAUAAGACUGGGAUAACUUCGGGAAACCGGAGCUAAUACCGGAUGAUAUUUUGAACCGCAUGGUUCAAAAGUGAAAGACGGUUUUGCUGUCACUUAUAGAUGGAUCCGCGCUGCAUUAGCUAGUUGGUAAGGUAACGGCUUACCAAGGCAACGAUGCAUAGCCGACCUGAGAGGGUGAUCGGCCACACUGGAACUGAGACACGGUCCAGACUCCUACGGGAAGCAGCAGUAGGGAAUCUUCCGCAAUGGGCGAAAGCUUGACGGAGCAACGCCGCGUGAGUGAUGAAGGUCUUCGGAUCGUAAAACUCUGUUAUUAGGGAAGAACAUAUGUGUAAGUAACUGUGCACAUCUUGACGGUACCUAAUCAGAAAGCCACGGCUAACUACGUG